GAUGAAGAACGUAGCGAAAUGCGAUAAGUAAUGUGAAUUGCAGAAUUCAGUGAAUCAUCGAAUCUUUGAACGCACAUUGCGCCCGCCAGUAUUCUGGCGGGCAUGCCUGUUCGAGCGUCAUUUCAACCCUCAAGACCCCUUCGGGGGACUGGGUGUUGGGGACCGGCACAGGGGCCUGCCUGCUUGUCUUGCAGCGCCCUCGCCGCCCCCGAAAUGAAUUGGCGGCCUCGUCGCGGCCUCCCCUGCGUAGUAGCACAAACCUCGCAACGGGAACGUGACGGCGGCCACUGCCGUAAAACAACCCAAUUUUAUUAGAGUUGACCUCGAAUCAGGUAGGAAUACCCGCUGAACUUAAGCAUAUCAAUAAGCGGAGGA
rnacentral:misc_RNA from 1 species